rnacentral:rRNA from 1 species
UGGUGGAGUGAUUUGUCUGGUUAAUUCCGUUAACGAACGAGACCACAGCCUACUAAAUAGGUGUGCCUAUGGCGACAUAGGUUGGCAGCUUCUUAGAGGGACAUUUCGGUUUUACCGGAAGGAAGUUUGUGGCAAUAACA